rnacentral:rRNA from 1 species
AACGGCCGUACCAUGCUGAAUAUACCGGUUCUCGUUAGAUCACCGAAGUCAAGCAUCAUUGGGCGCGGUCAGUACUUGGGUGGCUGACCACCUGGGAACACUGCGUGCCGU